CCUAAAUCCCCAAUGUCAUAAAUUGUACGACUAAAUCCCUAAUGUCAUUUGUUGUGCGUUCAUUUCAUGAAAGUAACCAGCCUUCAAAUUCAAGGUUUGUUCAAGUCGUCAUCGACAACCUCUGUUCAGGUUAAGUUCAAGCUUUGUUCAAGUCGUCAUUGUCAGCCUCCAUUUAAGACAAGUUCAUCAUCUUGAUUUCAGAACUCUCUUUUCGGAUGGAUUCUGGAAAGGAUAUGGAGGUGAUUGUCAACAAUCCUUCGACUAUGCCAGUGGUGUCUCAACAACAAGAAUAUCUAGACUCACCUUUGAGGAUUGAUUAGAUGGAUAGUUAACUAUAAUUUUCUCCUGGACUAUUUUUGGAAUCAUGACUACUUAAAGGUAUUACAAAAGAUUAUCCCAAGGAAAAGGAUGGAACUGCAAUGAAUCUCCCAAAGAUUGGAAUUUGGGUCAUUAUGCCUUUACUAACAUUCUGGAACAUGCUCCUCUGGAUUAAGAUGCCCAACUUCUUAGAGUUUAAUAUAUUCUCUUUUGGUUUAUUUUCUAUAAUCUUGACUAUAGUGUCUACUCUUGAAAUGUUGGUGAUAAUUCAUAUGUAGAGUGCAAUAUAAUUUGCAGUUUAUCUUUUUUGCAGUCUAUGACUCUUGGUUGUAACUAUUUACAAAUAUUUCAGGUAAUUCUAUAACUCUUGGCUAUAAUUCUA